rnacentral:piRNA from 1 species
UGGUGGACACUGUGAGACAGAUUUCAU